UAUACGGAACCCACAAAUCCACUAUUUAUCAAAUUAAAUGCGAUGACAUUUUAUGACCUGGUUGACUUUAAAAUCACCCAAUUAAUGUACAAAGCACACAAUAACCUGCUCUGCCAAAACAUUCAGAAGUUUUUCGAAAUUCGAGAAAGCAACUAUGAAUUAAGAGGUACCAACUUAUUCAAAAAACUCAAAACAAGAACAAACAUCAAGCAAAGAAGUGUAUCUAGCAAAGGUGUUAAUCAGUGGAAUAAUCUCGAAACGGACCUAAAAAUGAGUAUAUCGCUUGCUGAGUUCAAAAACAAAUUCCAAAAAAUAGUACAAACAACCUACAUCAAUCAGAGUUAAAAUGAUAAAUUCUAAACAUUAAAUAUAAUGAUAAAUCAGAGCUAAGUUGAUAAAUAGAGAAAGGUAUUGAAAUAUCCACUAUGAAUACAAGAGAAAAUUGACACAAGAGUGCCAGGGUGAGGAUGUAUAUAAUCCCGAUACAAACCAAAAGUUGUAAAAAUAUCGCGGUUAAGCAUGAGCCUUAAUGGAGACUUCUUCUUACUUUUUCUUUUCUGAUUGAUAUAAAAAUGAUUUAGUAGAUAUAAACACAUAACGGGGUAGGACUAGAUAAGUUUUUUACUUCAUCCUACUCCCUUGAACAUAAUAACUGUCUUUCUUUUUACUUUUUUAUCUACCUUAUUUUCUGUCAAAUUAUUACUGUAUACGUUUUAUGUUCAAUAAACAAACAAACACACAGCUACAUCACUUCUUGGAUGUAUCCCAUUGUGAAAAUGUUGCAAAUCAUUUGUUAUGCCUGUGAAGAGACCUGGCGAAUUUGGUUAAUCCCGGUGUUUCAGGGAAAUAUUGAUGAAUUUUGAAUAUUUUUUUUUUUCCUUUCUGUAUUCUUUCGUGUGUUAUGCCGAUGAGUGUCGAACCAGGAGGCAAAACUUCCCUGGCCUUUGCUGUCUUGUGUACUCCGACAAAUUGGUUCAGGGUUCUAUCCCGAGGACUACUCUGUACCAUUGACUGCAAACGCAUCUUGUCUGUCACAACAGUGCCGCCUCCUCCUAUUUGUCGGUCUUCUAUUGGAAGAGCUGGUUCGGCGUGGCAGUGUGACCUUGUCACAUGCUCCAAAAACAACUGAGGCUAAACUAGAGCCAGCCUAGUGUCUGAAAGGUAUCAGGAGAGAGGACUGCGUAUCUGGGAGACUUGUUCCAAUUGGCCGUGACCUCCUGACUGGGUGCUUGUAAUUAGAAGCAAGUCCCUCGCUGUGCCUCCCUCUCUUCUCCAAAGUAAAUACCUUGGCAUCCAACCGGAAUGCUGACAGACCUCUGUUUUGGGUGCUGUGUGAGAGGCGGGAGAGAGCUCCUUGCGUUCAACACUCAGCCCUCGUACAACACUUGUUCCGUCUGUCAGCGACACGCCGUGAUAUUCUAAAUGAAGAAUAUCACGACUGUCUGAUGACAACCGUGUGCAUUUCUGUCAACUGUUAAUAGCUUUAGCGCCGGAAAUGUAAAUCCAUCCGUUCGCAACCGUAUGCAUGUUGUACGUGUAUGUUUACAAAUGCUUUGGGCAAGGGGGAGGGGGGGAACUUGUGUCCAAGUGAAAAACAUGAGAGGAAAUCAAUCUGUAUACUCUCGGUGAUGGAUUCAUGGCUUUUUCAUUUUACACUGACGUUAAGGAUAAUUCUCAUGAAUGAGCGAAUCUAAGUUGGUCUUAUCAUUGGCGCAGGGAUGGAUGGAUCUGAAGCGGAUAUACGUACAGUCAAACCUCGGUUUUCCAUCUCUGUUCUCCACCAAAUUGGUUUUCGACCCAAAAUUUUAAUUUUUUUUUUAUGCCUCAGAUUACGACCGAAAAUCGGUUCUCGACCAAACUGAGCGCACUUGAAUGCGCCACUUGACUCCUCUCGCCUUCCUUACACGCGGAAGUGACGCUUCCUCGUGUCACGUUCCAUUGUGAGCAGACGUGUUCAAUAAAGAUUUUUUUUUUAAAAGAGUAUGGUUUCGGUUUUCGAACAAAUCAGUUUUCAAACAGCCUCCUGGAACAGAUUAUGGUUGAAAACCGAGUUAUGACUGUAUAAUGUUUGAAGGACUGUCCCGGCAGAGACUUGUUAACCACCUAGCGACUGUACAUACUUCAAAACAAAUUUGCCGUGGUUUUUUAGCCACAAAAUGUUCGUAAUAUGUGCAGAAGAAGACAGAUCAAAGGUCGCUUAGAUUAUGCAUUGUCUUCCCCGCUCAAAUUCUUUGCUUCAUAAUAACCUUGACCACAGGCUUGCAGUUUGCAAGGGAAAUGAUAGACUAUCAGUUCCUGUAUAUUUUGAUUGCAUAACCCGUGUGUUUGACUCCCAACACGGCGUUAAAAUAAAACUCGGUUCAUCCCGACGCGGCUCAAAAGGCAGUCUGUAUUUGAAAGAGCAGGCCAUGGUAUCUUGCUAGGACCGCUCACCUGAUAACCUUCACUGCAGGGUCUACUCCAGUGCAGUGCAAGAAUGUGUGUGUGUGUGUGUGUGUGUGUGUGUGUGUGUGCGCCAUGUCUUUUUUUAGGAUUGUAUCGAGUCCUAUCGGAUCAUUUUUUUGAUCAUUGUUGACUGCAUGACUGUAUCCUCUCCUAUUUGAACCCUCGCGUUCCUUGCGCAGGACUGAAGCAGGGUGUCUCGAGCUGCUCGUUUCGGGCUCAGCAGCCUUACGCAGCAAUGUCGUCGAAAGUUAAAGAACUCUGAGGACCAUAGCAGAGCCGUGAGCGGUUUUGGUGUUUGGUCUGCGCGCUCCGAGAUUAGCGCAGCAGGUUGCCGCAAGCUUAGUUAAUGACAUGCCUAUCGCCGAAGUCCUUGGGAUGUCUGGUGGUGGGACCCGCACUUACAGUACACGCGAAAGGCACAGCACUUCCUUCCCGAGCCGAGUCGAUGUGACCUCAUCGAAUCACCAUGGCAGGCUAACAUUGCGGCAAGAGAAACAACAUAAAAUGUCUCUUCUCUGCCAAAUGGGAUGGGACAUCGUCAGCCACAAAUAGUCACUUAACAUCCAGAUGACACACCAUGCUCCCAUCCUGACAUUAAGUCCUAAUCACAUUUUCCAAAGCCGAAAGGCAGUAUGUGUGACUCGUAUGCAAAUAUAGCACAAAUUAGGAGCCGCUAUUUAGCCAACGCAGAAGUCACCGCCGUUCUUAACAUACAUUUUCAUAUGAAGAAUGAUUGCACGGAUCAAGCUGUGUAACUCACUUUAAUUCUUCUGGGAAGGCUGUCCACAAGGUUUCGGGGUGUGUUUAUGGGAAUUUUUGACCAUUGCUUCCAGAAGUGCAUAUGUGAGGUCACACCCUGGCGUUGGCCAGGAAGACAUGGCUCUCAGUCUCGGCUCUUAAUUUUUCCCGAAGGUAUGAUGUUGGGUUGAUGUCGGUCUCUGUGCAGGCCACUCAUCCACACCAGACUCUGUCAUCCAUGUCUUUAUGGACCAUGUGGAAAGACAAAGUGGCCAGCUCCGAACUCUUCCCAAAAAUUUGGGAGCGUGGAAUUGUCCAAAAAUCUCUUGGUAUGCCGAAGUAUCGCAUACUGUAUGUCAUAUUUUUCCAGCCAAAGUUCACAGAGAAAUGAUUUGGAAAGUAUUUAGCAAAAGUCAUUUGGCUGAUUUUUCAUCUCCUAAAGUUUUUUUUUUUUGGGACCAUAUUCCUCACGUUUUGUUGUUUUCUCCAAAUGUUACAUCCAUACAGGGUGGGGCUUGAGGUGGUCUCGACCUGCCUUGGUCUUUUAUUUUUUUCUUGACUCAGUCUGACAUUGCAUCUGUGUUGUUCUUCCCUUCUGUCAGUACACUGUUUAUAUCCUUAAAUUCCUACUGUAUUUUAUGGGGAAAGCGUUGCUGAGUGCUAGUUACAGCGCUGUCCUAUAUCAGUCAGCAGCCUGUUUAUGUCCAAACCCAAGAGUCGGGAGAUGAGCCAAGCGCUCGGUGCUCUGCCAGAUCAAUCCGAGAGUGAGCGAGCGAGGGACAAAAGGUCGGGCUUGAAGGAAAAGGGGGUGUGAGCAUUUCUUCUAGCGCGAUUCUCUGACCUACCUCCAUGCCGCCGAGUUCCACUGUUUGCCCACUCUGUUAACUAUUACCAAAAGGCUGUGUAUCUUGGCUUCAGCCCAACACUCUUACACAUACUGUGGCCCAUUAUCAAAGGAGACCUGCACGACGAGCUCUGGAAGCUUUCCAAAAGGCCACAAUUUCAACCCUAAGACCAUACCUGGCACCAGAGAACACUCCUUGUAGUUUUCUCGCAACUCUUUCUCCGAAGCCCCCCUUGCUACUCCCUUGAACAUAAACGUUGGUGAAACUGCACUUGGCAGGUACAGCCCUCCCCCCACACGUCUUUUUAGAAUCUCUUUCAAAUCCAGCCUUCGUUUUCAGGCCAGGCAGUAAAAAUGAUGCGCGAUACGGCACGCGCGCAUGUCUGUUUUAUGAACUGUAGAUGAUCAAGUGACAUGACAGAAAGAUAACACUGGUCAAUAAUUUAUUUAAAAAUUUCAAUCCAAGAUGCCCCUGAAUGGGAGUUGCUCACAUCAGUUGAAAUUCUCACCUUGAAGUUCAAUUGAGUUCAUUUUCAUGGCAAAGAGGGACUUGGAAAAUGAAUGCAAUUGAUCUUGAUCACUCCUCCAAACAUUCUGGGGUACAUGCAAAUCACAAUCAUUUAAAAAAAAAUGAGGCCGUUAGACUUUGUGAAAUGUAAUGUUUGUGUCAUUUUCAAAACGUUUGGCCAUGGCCGCGGGAAAAUAAAGCCAUCGCCGACACAAUUUGCUGUUGACCAGUGUAAUGAGACAAGGAGUAAUGAAAAUCAAAGCAAAUUGAAAAGUCAAAAGCAAUGCGGUGAAAUGUAUGCGGGUCUACUUAUGACACCUGACUUAGGUCAAAUACUGCCGUCUACCCGUGAUGUGAGCGGAUGUAGUUGCUCGUAAAGUAAAAUGCCAAGCAUCUCCUCUUACAUAAGGCAACAAGGCACAGUCUAUGAAUAGUGAUCUUCCGAUAUAAACACCGGAGCCUUGUCAACACUUUUUGUUUUAUUUCUGAAUAUCUUAACUUCCACAUCGGUUGGCAAAGCAUUUUCAAAACUUCGAUUGGUCAAAAAUGUGUCAAAAUAACACCCGCGUGUGGACUGACAAAUAGCAUAGACUUGUGAAGAAACUUGAAAUGGACCAAAUUGUGACAUCGGACAAUUUGGCCCAAUGCAUGCGAUACGUACUGUAUCUCCUUUCCGGUAUUUAAAAAAAAAAUAUAUAUAUAUAUAUUUUGUCCCUUUUCCCCCAAAGCAUUUUGCAGUUAUUCUGUCUACAUUAUCUGAAUAUGGCAUUUGAAGACAAGAGGAAGCUCCAAUUACAACGCCGUUCCGCUCACUUCCAGUACCUAUGCAGAUUCUUCUCUUCACAUUUUGCGGCUGGUCCCUUUGCAUGGAAUAACUGUCACGAAACGUUCCCAAACAUCAAAACACAUCCACAAAAUGUUUUUUGGGGGGGCUGGUUUCGGUCAAGAGCCACAGCUCGUGAUCAUAGGUGAGGGUGGGGUGGGCUACGUCGAUGCACGAGCAAAUUGAGAGCUUCAAAACACACAGAGAUUCUUAUUCCUAUCCCAACCGCUUCACACACUGCAGCAAGUCGCUUGAGUGAGAGUUGAGGGGGCUUGAUGAAGCCCAAAUAACCAAAUGAAACUAACAUACAAAAAAAACAAAAAAUGUCAUAUUGAGGCAACCAAACUAUACUCCCGAAGGGCUCUGCUGCAUUCUGUCUAAAAAAAAAAAAAGUUAUGGACAUAAUCAGUGACAAAGGGGAAACUUUGGAAAAUCCCAUUCCUCAUCGAAAAUGAAUUUGACUUUCUGCACGCAAUGUAGUGUAAAAUCCGACGCCGGUCAUACAAGAACUAAGCAGCCCGUGUCGGAGGGUCUUUCUCUGCAGACUCCCACAGCACCGCUUACAUGAUUCCCAGUGGGACAUUGUCGAAAUGCCUUCUCCGAGUCCACAAAACACAUGGAGACUGCUUGGGCAAAUUCCCCCGCACCCCCCUCAGACAUUUGGUGAGGGUGUGGAGGUGGACCACUCUUCCACAGUCAGGGCGAAAAACCACAUCGCUGAGGGUUUUUUGAACCUAUGGUGUGGAAUUUGGGAAAUUCGAGUAUAACUGUAUGUAAAGGUAUUGUCAAACAUUUUUCUCAUUGAGGCCCUCCCUGUAAUUGUUAAUAUUUCAAAUGUAUAUAUUUUAUUUAAUCACCCUCGGCCGGGACUUGAUUUGAUGUGGAUGUUAUGAUGUAGUGGAUAAGACGUGCCGUCAUCAUUUAAUGAGUUGGUUGGCGUUACAAUUCAGUGAGCACUACUUACUGGAUGUGAUUACUGUUUGUGUCCACGUCUGCGGUUGCUAUGGUGUAGUAUGUCGCUUGAUUCGAUCAGGUGGCAGCCUCAUCCGACUUCAGCCAGGUGUGCGCCCAUAUUAGCUUCAGUCUGUUCUCAUGCUGUCUUUGUUGGCAUGUAAACACAUCUUUUCAAGUGUCGCUAGUUUUGUGUUGAUAUAUAUGUGAAGUCAGAUUCUCCGCGGUGAUAUGUAAACAAAUGGCACUCUGAAGUGCGUGUGUGUGUGUGUGGUUGUGUGCCAGACUGAUCCGAAAGUGAGAUUUUGUUAUCCUUUGAUGGACACACUGGCUCACAUGUUGCUUCAGUGAAGCUGACUAAUGUGAAGUACAAAGUAUAUCUACUCCGGUCACUUUUUUGGUUUUACUUUCCUGCCAAGUUACGAGUGAGAAUCUGUUCUCAAUUGCCAUACCUAAGAUAGCAUCUUCAAAACGGCAUACCUGCAAUUUGUAAAGCAAAAUAAAGUUUGCUGCUGAUGUAUUUCGAAAAAAAAGAUGAUGGUACAAUUCCCAAGUGAUCUGAGCUUUCAAGCACACACUGUACAUCCAACGGCCCAGUGGUUCCCGUUUACCUGUAUGAUUGUCAUCACCUUGGAGAGGCUAGUUCUUCCCCCUUCAGAGUUUUUCUUUUCGCUCCCUCGGGCCUAAGACACCUUUGUUUUCUUGAAGAAUGAUUUCCUUUUGGGUCACCUCUCCAGCCUUUCAGGGCAGUGAAAGUGGAUCUGUCCAGGGCCUCUCCAUUACAUAGCCCAUCAGAUAGGGAGGGCAAGAUAACUCCCCUCUGUAUAAUAAAUGUCUCAUAUUUGAUCUUCACAGGUGGGAGUGAUCUCACAACAGUGAAGCCCUGGUGCCUCUCUGGGGACCACUUGCAUAAACACCGCCUUUUUAGUCUGAAAAAGAUGAGUCUGGUAGCCUUUUGUCAAGUCAAGUGGCAGCAAAAAGUCGUCAAAAAGGCACACGGCCUAGCGUUGCUUUUUGGAAAGGUGAAAAGUUGACAUUGCUGAUUCGAUCAGACCAGGCUUUGGGGAAGCUUCAUGGUGUGAAUCGUAAAAAAACACAUAGUAACCUUCAGCCCAAGUCCCUUUCUUACCAUAACCCAACCAACACCACAAUGUACA